UAGACAGACUGAAGUGGAGAGGAAGGCGAACUCAACUAGGAGUGCUGGUGUCAAAGGGACAGGCCGACCACAGCAAGCUGACACCCGGUGGCUGUGGUUCCUUCCACCACAGCCCACUAUCAGAGGCUGAAGUGAGACGAUCGGACUUGGCCCAACCUUGUGGUAGCCAAGAUUCACCCCGGCCUUGCUGGCCACACCCCUUGCUCAGUCUACAAGGCAAGAGGUGUUCUGAACCACAGACACGGAUUACACACCAGAUUCCAACGCAAGGGUGAGCCGUUGCUUUCCUGUUUCCUGUUUGGGUCACAGGCCUCCUUCAGCUAUUCUGGAAUGUUAGAACACGUAAUCUGUUUUGAGUUUGGAAAGGUCCGAUGCUCCUUUAUGUGGGGGUGUUCACUUAUCAGAAAAGAAAAAAAAAAGCUAGCCUCCUGCUUUCAGCAGUGAAGUGUGGAAAUGUAGCACAUCCUACUCUGACAUUUCUUUUCUGCCUCCUGAGCCCCAGUCGCUAGAUUGUGGUUUCCAGGCUGUUUUGCUUUUUAUUUCUUUCUAAUUGGUUUUACUCUUCAUGCCAAGUGUCUUAAGUCACAUUAACUAAAGAUGUAAUGUUUUUGAAGUAACAAGGAAAGCUGGUAGCAGCCUCCUGCCAGGAUGGACAGAUGGAUUUAUAAGGGCCUGGGUGAGGCCCUCUUGCUGAUACUCCUGGAAUGGUGGGUUUUGACAGCGCUGUCCCAUACCUCCAUGGCUUUCAUCCCCUAAUCACAGAGGGUUAAAUCCACUGCUACCUAUUUACCUCUCAGAGAAAGCUUGACACCUCCUCAGAUUUCCCAGACUUCUCUUUUCUGACCCUAGCUACAGUGACUAUCCUGGGAGCAGCUGGCAUACGAGGCUUUGAGCUUCAACUCUGGCCAUGUCUCCUGGCAAUUACCUCUACCUGGGACCCAAAGCAGUUUGCAUGACCACUAAAGGGUUAGCUGAUAGCUGUGAUUGGCCAUUGAGAAGAGGGAGGAGUAAUGACUUCAAUGACCCCAGAAGAUUCCAGAGCAGAGAACAGCAGCAGUCUGGCUUUGUUCUUUGGUACCAAGUGCCCCCGUCAACCACUGCAAUGCAGAGAUGGUACAGUGGAGAAUCCUGAUGCUUGAAAACAACAUACAAAUAACUAAAACUUGUGUAUCCAGCAGAGAUAUAUGCUGUGAACAGUGUGACUGAAUCACUAGGAACUUUGCCUAGAGAGGGCUCAUUUGUGUAAGUGCUGCAAAAAUUUUAUCACCUAUUUCUCUUUUCUUAAAACAACAACAACAAAAAAAAAACCCCACAUUGAUGGAGGCAUCUGAGUUUAUUUCAAUAUAGUUUUAAAUACUUAUAAAAUCACUCCACCUCAACACUAUUUGUUGGUGGUGCUAGUAGCAGUCGUAGAGGUGUAUCGUGAGGGUGAUUCUUGACAGCUCACUGAAAUCCGUGUGAUGAAUGAAUAGAACAAUAGAUGGGAACUACAAUGUGCUGAUGGGACAAAGGGCCAAGAAGUUCAACACAGAGGUUAGAGGGAGAGAAGUGUCAUGAAGGGUCACAGAAAUCUCCACAUGCUCAUUCAUUCCUCGAGCCAGAAACCAUUUACUGAGUUUCCCCCUUGUCCUUCUACCUUGUAUAAAACAUGUAAGAAAGUCAAGGCCCUUCUUUUAAAAUUAGUUCAUAAAAUUGUUGAACCAGCUACAGUGAAUAAAUU
rnacentral:lncRNA from 12 species